rnacentral:piRNA from 1 species
UCCUGAAGUUGUGAGACAGAAGGUUCCCA